rnacentral:rRNA from 1 species
GACGAACGCUGGCGGCGUGCUUAACACAUGCAAGUCGAGCGGUAAGGCCCUUUCGGGGGUACGACGAGCGGCGAACGGGUGAGUAACACGUGGGUGACCUGCCCUCAGCUCUGGGAUAAGCCUGGGAAACUAGGGUCUAAUACUGGAUAUGACUCCACGGUGCAUGUCGUGGGGUGGAAAGCCUUGUGCGGCUGAGGAUGGGCCCGCGGCCUAUCAGCUUGUUGGUGGGGUGAUGG